CCCUGGUUAGCUCAGUUGGUAGAGCGCUCCACUAUAAAUGGAGAAGUGCCGGGUUCGAUACCCGGACCAGGCG
rnacentral:tRNA from 1 species